GACGAACGCUGGCGGCGUGCCUAAUACAUGCAAGUUGAGCGCUGAAGGUUGGUACUUGUACCGACUGGAUGAGCAGCGAACGGGUGAGUAACGCGUGGGGAAUCUGCCUUUGAGCGGGGGACAACAUUUGGAAACGAAUGCUAAUACCGCAUAAAAACUUUAAACACAAGUUUUAAGUUUGAAAGAUGCAAUUGCAUCACUCAAAGAUGAUCCCGCGUUGUAUUAGCUAGUUGGUGAGGUAAAGGCUCACCAAGGCGAUGAUACAUAGCCGACCUGAGAGGGUGAUCGGCCACAUUGGGACUGAGACACGGCCCAAACUCCUACGGGAGGCAGCAGUAGGGAAUCUUCGGCAAUGGACGAAAGUCUGACCGAGCAACGCCGUGUGAGUGAAGAAGGUUUUCGGAUCGUAAAACUCUGUUGGUAGAGAAGAACGUUGGUGAGAGUGGAAAGCUCAUCAAGUGACGGUAACUACCCAGAAAGGGACGGCUAACUACGUG
rnacentral:rRNA from 1 species